GUCGGCUUCGGGCUGCGUCUAGCUCCGCGGCGUUAGCGCCGGCCGAGUGGCGGGGCCCAGAGCCCUAGUCGGGAGGUGGCGCCGAGUGACCCGUGCGACGCGGUAGUUUUCCGAGAAAAACCAAGGAACAAUGACCAGUCUGGGGGCAGCAGACUCUCCCAGUGUUCAUUGAACAGAUUUCUUGGAGAAACAGCUGAGUCCAGGUAGAUGAGGAAAUCACAAGUUAACCUGGAACAUCUGGUAUCCUGAGGAGGGAAAUUACAUUUUACCUUGAAAAUGGAAGAAUAUUCUGGAAUUUGUGGGCAUAGAUUUAAAACCACCACCAUUAAAUGAUUUUGAUUUUUUAAAAGUA